UCUCCACCAUGCCAUGGUAAGGCUUCACCCUACCCCGAGAGGGGAUCCACAGAGGUCUGGAAUCUGAAAGAACACGAGCAUAUCCUCGACCCCAGUGUGGGGAGGAGGAGCUGAUGCUACAUGAGACACUGAAGAGCCGGAUUUGAAGGCUGCACCCAACGUAAUGCAGAAACAGGAGGAGUGGGAAGGGAAGGCAGAAAAAGUGA